CAGCGCCACGAGUGGCAUCCACAAUUAUUGGGCCUAAAGCGUCCGUAGCCGGAAAUGUAAAUCUUUUGUGAAAUCGUGGGGCUUAACUCUACGUCGUGCAGGAGACACUACAUUUCUUGGAACCGGGAGGAGUUAGAGGUAUUCUGGGGGGAGCGGUAAAAUGUUAUAAUCCUCGGAGGACCACCUGUGGCGAAGGCGUCUAACUAGAACGGAUUCGACGGUGAGGGACGAAAGCUGGGGGAGCAAACCGGAUUAGAUACCCGAGUAGUCC
rnacentral:rRNA from 1 species